rnacentral:rRNA from 1 species
UACGUAGGGGGCAAGCGUUAUCCGGAAUUACUGGGUGUAAAGGGUGAGUAGGCGGCAUGGUAAGCCAGAUGUGAAAGCCUUGGGCUUAACCCGAGGAUUGCAUUUGGAACUAUCAAGCUAGAGUACAGGAGAGGAAAGCGGAAUUCCUAGUGUAGCGGUGAAAUGCGUAGAUAUUAGGAAGAACACCAGUGGCGAAGGCGGCUUUCUGGACUGAAACAGACGCUGAGGCACGAAAGUGCGGGGAUCGAACAGG